rnacentral:rRNA from 1 species
GACGAACGCUGGCGGCGUGCUUAACACGUGCAAGUCGAACGGAAAGGCCCUGCUUUUGUAGGGUGCUCGAGUGGCGAACGGGUGAGUAACACGUGAGUAACCUGCCCUUGACUUUGGGAUAACUUCAGGAAACUGGGGCUAAUACCGGAUAGGAGCUCCUGCUGCAUGGUGGGGGUUGGAAAGUUUCGGCGGUUGGGGAUGGACUCGCGGCUUAUCAGCUUGUUGGUGGGGUAGUGGCUUACCAAGGCUUUGACGGGUAGCCGGCCUGAGAGGGUGACCGGCCACAUUGGGACUGAGAUACGGCCCAGACUCCUACGGGAGGCAGCAGUGGGGAAUAUUGCACAAUGGGCGGAAGCCUGAUGCAGCAACGCCGCGUGCGGGAUGACGGCCUUCGGGUUGUAAACCGCUUUCGCCUGUGACGAAGCAUGAGUGACGGUAAUGGGUAAAGAAGCACCGGCUAACUACGUG